AGCAUGUGAGAAGAGUAAGGGAUUAUAAAUGUUGUGGAAACAGAAGCGAAUCACAUGUGAACAAAGAGAAGAAGACAAAAGGCAGGGGAGACGCCACGUGGAUAGUUAUGAUAAGAAAUUAAAGGGGCUCAUUAGAAGAAAAGAGAGGGGCUCACUAAAAAUAGAGACAAGAAGAGAGACCCAACAACUCACGUGUCCCCAUUUCCUUUUUGCUUAUUCGGCUCAACUAAUCAGCACCACAUUUCACAAUUCACACCCACUCUCUGGUCUUCACGACAUUCAUGUUCAACUUUGGUCCCAUUCCCAUCAUUAUCAUUUGUUCAUUUACCACAUACAUAUUUUUCUUCUUUUAUCUGAUCCUUUUUAUUUUAUUUAUCACGGGGUGAUUUUCUAGUUUUUCUUUAUUUUUUACUCACAUGUUUGAUAUUAUAGUUAUAAAUUUAUUUUAGUUUGUGAAAAGUUCUAUUUUUAAAUAUAUAUCAUAUGAAGAUAAAUUUUAG